rnacentral:lncRNA from 1 species
CUGCUCCUGCUUUUGCACCUUUGUGUGUACAACAGUGUUCUCUUCUGCAGCUCUGCCGUGUGGUACCAAAAAAUAAUUAAAACAAAAAAUCUGACCUAAUAAUUAGCACACUCCUGUAUUGUAUAUGGCUCUGUCACCAUCUUAGGAUUAAAUAAGAUUGCCGGGGCAUUAAUGAGCACCAGGACCAGACCAAUUCCCCUCAUCUCUCUCCUUAAUUUGCGCCCCUAUAGUCAAUUUUUUCUGAACAUUAGAGGACCAACCAACUAAUCCAUGACCACUGCACAGAAAUUUGUGCAGAUGGACAAAUUGUCCUUGCAAUCUAGGUACAGGUACGACGACGAGGAUGACCUGCUUUUUUUUUUUUCUAGCACAGGUUUUUGCC